rnacentral:lncRNA from 1 species
AUGCUUUCAGAAAGUUGGCCUCAUUCUCUGAAGCUCAAGUCCUGUUGAUCAUAAUUGCUUCUGACUUAAAAUUACCUAUAGUCACCAUAAGAUGCCUCCUGGGGACAAAAGAGAAAUAAAUACCGUAAAUAUCUGACAAUAGGUAUUAACAAUAAACCCACUUAAAGAUUAACUGACAUUAGACUAAGACGAAGCUGCAUAUCUAUAUAUGAAUAAAUAUAAAAUGUAAUUAUUGUGCUGGGAUAAUUAUAAUUAAUACUAAAAUAAAAUUUAUGGCCAGUAUACUGAAGUAUAAAUGAUGAAGAGCUGCGAACUUUUAAUCAAGGAAAAAUAGAAUUAGCUGAAUGGUGAGAUGGAUUGUAGUUAUUUCACCACCUGUUCCAAAAGCAAAUUCUACAUGCAAAUAUUUUAAAACCAAAUUGGUGGUGUUUUCUGAAACACGUUGGAAAGUUAUGGCUAUGGGUUGAAGACCGUCUACUGUGCUAGGUGUGUUUGGACAGACAAUACCUCUUAGGCACCUUCUGCAUCUCAGAGGUGCAGGGUACAUUCCAGGUCCUCAAAAUGCACUUUCUGGAUAGUAAGACCCCUAAGUGUGGCCAUGAAUAAUCUCGGUUUUAUUGGCUGAAUUCUAAUAUCAAAAUUACAUUAAAAUUUUAGUGGCUGAGCUGGACCUUAUAGACCAGAAACACUGGCUUCCAAAAUUUGAGAUUUAAUUUCUAAAAUUUUAAGCCAUGCAUGCUCAGAAGAAAGUCUAUAAAAUGUACCCGAAGUUGGAAGUGAACGCCACGUGGGACAUUUAAGUGGAGAAAGAGAUUGUUUUUAAACAAGAUUUAAAAUUCAAGUAACUGGCUAAUUUGGUCUGAAGUCAAUUACAGGUGAUCAAAGAUGGAAGUUUGUUAUUUGGCAGCUUUCAAAUGAAUAGCUUUAGUCAACAAAUACAAUUCGAAAACAUUUUCAUGUGUACGUAUUGAAAGGCAUAAACCUUUGGCUAGUACCAUGUAGCCAUUGAAAUGGCCAUAACAAACGGCACCUUUAAUUUGCCAAGUAAUUUCAGAUUCUUAGUCAAAAAGAAUCUCUCUUGCUUGAACUUUACUUCUCUGGACUGUACAUAUAUCAGAGAUGUGAUCAUUGAAACUCUAAAAGAUUAUUUGUUUCUUUUAGUAGCAUAGCAGAAAAUUAAUGGCGUGGGGGAGGGGGAAGUGACAACUUAAGUUGAUGCUUGAUAGCUGUUUACUUAUAAAUGUGUGUCCAGAUUUCAGUGUCCUGUAAAAGAAAGGGAAAAUAAAGAAACCAAAGCAUUCAUGUGGCUUUUAUGCAACUUAGGACACAUGGAAGAAAGUGCUUAGAAGGCUAGUGAAAUAUUUACUAAACAAAUCAUUUACAUUAAACUUUUGUAUAUGCAAAACCCAGAGCACCUACAAAAAGAGAAACAACUUUAGCCAUAAGGAAUAUUUCGGCAUCAAAAUGGUUAAUAGUAUUAUAGCUUCAAAAGAGCCUAUUGGCUCACCCUCAAGGAUGCCCUGCAGUUGUUGUGAAAGUCAUCAGAUGAAGCUAGCCUUCUCAGCUAGCCUUUAGAUUUGUCUGCUAACAGUAAAAAUACUAUAAUAAAUCGGUAACAUAUGUUGCCAGGCAAGGAAAAGUGAUAUAAAUAAAGAGACUAGGAGACCCAAACCAAGUACAAUGUGAAAAGAAUUUAACUUUCAAUCUAUGCAUUGGCUAAUUAUCAUUUGAAAAGUAAUUUGAAAGUGUUACAGUUAUUUGCUUAUAUUCUUCCUCAUUUUUCUUUUUUUCUCUUCAGAUUGCAUUCUUACCCAAAUACUCUUCGUGAUUGCCUGCUUUGCGGCUUUGGGGUAAGUCCCAGUUUUCCACAACCUUAAAGAAAAAAAAAUGCAUAACAUAAAAGAUGCCAAAAAGACUUAUGUGUCCUGAUGUGCGGGUUUUGUGAAAUAUACAUGGGUUUGUUUUUUUUUGGGGGGGGGUGGCGGGGAACGAUGUUGGUAAUGAAAUAAAGAGAAGGGGUUUGUUUCUGCAAGGAUCAAGAGUGUGUGAAAGUGUGCAUUGCAAACGAGGCUCCCAUCAAGAAAGCCACCUCUGGAAUGGAAAUGACAAAGCUUGGAACACACACAAUCAAUUAUUUUCACUAGCAUUUAAAAUAUAGAAAACAAAAUCUGCUUUGGGAAUUGACUGAAUAUUUUAUUUAGCUUUUUUAUUGAGACAUCCUUUGAAAAAUGGCAUAAUAUAAAUAGUUUUACAAAGCAACAAUAUAAUCAAUCUCUAAACUAGAAUAUAAAUCAAGGAUUUCAUUAACUGCUAGUAGCCAGUUUAAAUUGUAGUCUUGUCCAUAAUGUCUAUCUAUCUAUGUAUGUCCAAGUUAUAUUAAAAACCUUUAAAUGGCUUUGUAAUAUCAGCUACAUCUAGCUAUUAUAAUAAUUAAUGGUACUGUUUUAUAAAUCAAUACAUGUAUUCUUGAUAAAUUCAUAUCCAGUUAAUGGUGUAAUUUAAAUAAAAAAUUAAUGUAAUAAAGGACAUACAGAAACAGGCAGGAAAUCUUUAAAGGUUAAGAGACAAAUUUGUCUAAAUUCAUUUUUAAGCCGUUUUGAAAAAGUUUAUACUUAAAAUCAGCUGAGAUUUACCUUGUUUCUGUAAAACUAAUUUUGCUGUGUCUGUUGGUAUCCAGUAAUGAAUCUGUGCAUUAUUUUCUUUUUUAACUGUUAAGUUUUAAUUACAUACUUAUGAUACUAUGAGAUAUGUUACUACCGUUAUACUCUUUUGCAAUUAUUGAAUAUUCUUUAAAAAAAUAGAACAAAACUAAAAAUCUCAAGCCAGUAAUUUAUUUUUAAUACAUGAAUGAAAUGUAAAUGCUCUCUCUCUAUUUUUUAUAUCUAUAAGCGAACGGUUCUGAGAAUCUCCAAAGCUAUAUACAAAUUUUAUUUAAGGUGAAAAAGGACUGAUUAGCUCAAUAAAUUUGCAUGCGCAAAAGCGCAGCGUUUUUACUGCUUUCACUGAAUGAACAUCCUAGGAAUUUGAGAAAGAAAAGAAAAAUGCUUUGAAGAGUCUGAAAUGUAUUUUAACGCUGCACACGGGUGGAGAAACAUGUUACAAAGAGAAGAGUGUAUUAUUGUUCUGAUUUAAAAAAUACAUACCAAAGGCAUCUUAAGGAAUAACAGGAUCUAGAAAAACAACUGAAUGUUGUAUGUUAUCAAAUACAAUCUUAAAUCUUUCCAAAUAAAAUUUCAUUUGGUUUAUAGAGUAAGCAUUUUACACGAGAUAUCUUUCAGAAUUAUGCAGACCAGUCUGCCCUGCCAUUCUCCGUGACAUGGUGCAGAAAUGUUACUUUAAUCCACUGAGCUUUUUCUGACAUUUUUCUUAACAUUGCUGAGCCUUAUUUAGAGCAGCAAAGGAGAUGUGUGCAGUUUCCUUUGACACUGAUGGGUGUUUCAAAAUGUUACGAGAGAGAGAGAGAGAGAGAGAGAGAGAGAAAGAGACAGAGACAGAGACGGAGAGAGAGCGCGAGAGAGAAAAGAUUUGCUGCCAGUCACUUUAUCAAUAGAGCUACAGGAGCAAUUACUAUUUGUUAAAAGUUUACAUUUCAAAUGAAGCUAAAUUUUAAAGAAGGCUCAUCCUUUUAAAAGCCUGCUGCUUGGAAGAGGGGGGAAGAGAAUGCACGGUAGUGAUCACAUGUUAAAGUGCGCUCAAGUACUGGAACCAUUUAAAAUGUAUUGUGUUUUUAGACGAAGCCUACAGCAAAACCACUCCUAAGAGGCUUAAUUUAGGUUUUAUAGGAGGAACAUAAAAAAGACCAGGUUACAGCAACACGCUGAAAUAUGGGGUACAUUUUAAAUAUCUUCAUUUAAAAACGUAUGUUUAUUUUCCCUCCUGGGAUCACUAACAUGUGUCUCGACAGAGAAAGCAAGGACAUGCUACAUUCUUAAAAAUUAUCUGUUAAAGGGAUCACAUUCCAAGACAGGUUUGAGCAUUUUUAUUACUACCGAUAACCUCUUAAUUAUGUCACUGCCUUCCACUUGUUAAUCAGGGACAUUCAACAUGGUUAACCAGUGAGCGGUUGCCUUUCGUCGACUUCAUUAUUAUUAGGAAUUAAAAACUCAUUCUAUUCCCAUCAUCAUGUUUUUGCAUCUAUGAGUUUAGCACUGCUAGAAACUUACCUGCUUUAAAUACAGAACACCUAAGAAAAGGUCUAGAUGCCCAUAACAAUGUUGUUAAUUACUUCUAGGUGCAGCUCAUGGAAAGCUUUAAGAGAUGGAUAAUUUUACUUUUCCUGUCUUGCCCCCCUCCCCCAACCCCGCUGCCUCCCCCACAUCUCCCACAAUUCCUAUUUGAACCAAUUUUAGGUUCCUUGUGCAGCCACCAGCGCCUGAGAUACUCAGAGACUUUUUUCAGAGAGCACGGUGUAAGUGGAGUAAAUAAAAUCAUGUUUCACUGUUGCUUUAUCAACCCUCCUAGGUAGUUUUCCUGCCAGCCAACCUGCACUGUUAAGACCCAGAAAAUUAUGCAAUAGUGACUUCUUUGAGGUUCUCUAAUCAGAUGAUGGCCAGUGUUAGGAGGGGAAGGGCCCAAGGCAAUGUUGCUGGCACUUAAUGCUGGGCUUGGUCAUUACUUGUCUGGUAGAGACCAAUAAACAGAUGAUUACUAUCCUAUAAGGAGCCAAUAUUUUACAUUUAUCCUAGUUAUAUCUUUUCUUUUCAACGUCUUAUAACAGAAAGUAUUUGUCAAGAUCUAUGAGGAAUAACCUCACAGGCCCCUUAAAAAUAAGAAUUUUCCUAGCGUGAAAUGAUGCUUUUUGUGCAAUGGUGAGAAUGAUUUUGGUUUUUAUAAGAGCAAAGGUUUGAUUACUUUAAAGUAGUUCUCUUUCAGAUGUGGACAGUCCCAGACCCCAUCCCCCACUCUCAUGUCCCCCUCUCUCCUCUAUGACAGGUUCACAGGCUGCAACCAAGGGGUUUUAAAAUGCAAAUAUUUAUAUUGGAGCUCUGGCAAUAACAGAGUCGUUUUGCUUCCUCUGUUAGCCUGUGAUAAUUGAUGCUUCAUACCUGGAACUACGUUUCAUUUAUCUCUUUACACAUGAAGAUAUUACAUAAAUAAAAGAUAAUUUAUGGAAAGGAAACAGCCAUUUGAAAUAAUAAUCCUAAAUUUCAUUGUAUAAUCUUGAAAGGCUUUAAGAGUCAAAGAUGCAGAUUUCUACAGUUUUAAAGAAAACUUGAUCGCACCUGGGAAAUUUGUGCAUUUUUGCACACUUACUGAAUUUGAAUGCCUGCGUGGAUCAAAAACAAAAAAGAGGGAUAAAAGGAAGGCAGGAGAGAAAAGGUGUGGAUUUCACAUGUGCUUUAAACUAAUGCAUUCGCCCACACGUCCACAGACUUCUUGUUACAAUUUUAUUGACUUUUUCUUUAUAUCCGAAAAUAAUUUCUAAAUAGCUAAUGCAAAUUGCAAAAUAGUGAGUCUUCUGAAGGGCCUUCUCUUCCCGGGGAUCCUCAUCUUAGAAUGAACAGAGGUAUUCCCAGAACCGGACCCUGAUCUCACAACCUCAUACAAAGCCAGGCAAUUCUUGAGCCAAACAAACAAAGGGUGUGUAAGCGAUUUCAUUUAUUUUGAUAAUCCUCCUCUUGCACAGGAGCAUCUUGCUGUCUUUGUCAAAGUGAAUGACAACAAUUUGGCUAACUCUCUCUGAGCUGCGCUCAACAGUGACAGGCAAAUUAUCAGAGGCCCUGCACUUCUUAUUAUCAGAGGAGAAGCCAUCAGGGGGACGCAUGGAGGAUACCUCUCCCUUGUCACUAUUUGUCAGUGGGACAAGGGC